GAAUUGGCAGCCAUAUAAAGUUCCUAGGAGCUUUAGGUGUCAUAUCAACCAGUGCACCACCACUUGCAGUAUCAAUCAUGCUUCUAUCAGUUGGGAAAAGUCUUUGAUAGAAGUACUGGAUGAGUAACUAAUCACUAAUUUGAUGAUGGAGGCAAUUAGCACACAAUUUCUUAAACCUCUCCCAAUACUCAUGCAAGGUUUCUUCAUUAUAUCGCAUGAUGCCUCAAAUUUCCAUCCUUAUAUUGGCAACUUUAGAGGCUGGAAAGUAUUUCUCUAAGAAAAGCCUCUUUUUGUCAUUCCAUGAGUUAAUGGAUCUUAAUGGCAAAUAAUAGAGGCAAUCCUUAGCUGAAUUAGCUAGAGAGAAAGGAAAAGCUCUAAGUUUAAUUUGCUCUUCAGUGAUCCCUGUUGGUUU
rnacentral:misc_RNA from 1 species